rnacentral:rRNA from 1 species
UACAGAGGUCCCAAGCGUUACUGAGAAUCACUGGGUUUAAAGGGUGCGUAGGUGGUCCGUUAAGUCAGUUGUGAAAUCCCCGGGCUCAACCCGGGAACUGCUUCUGAUACUGGCGGACUUGAGGCCAGUAGGGGUCACUAGAACUGACGGUGGAGCGGUGAAAUGCGUAGAUAUCAGGAGGAACACCGGUGGCGAAGGCGGGUCUCUGGGCCGAUACUGACGCUGAGGAGCGAAAGCGUGGGGAGCGAACAGG